rnacentral:rRNA from 1 species
GCGUAUGCAACCUACCUUCCACAGGGGGAUAGCCCGUCGAAAGACGGAUUAAUACCGCAUAAGACCACGACCUGGCAUCAGGAUGUGCUCAAAGCUGAGGCGGUGGAAGAUGGGCAUGCGUGCCAUUAGCUAGUUGGCGGGGUAGAGGCCCACCAAGGCGACGAUGGCUAGGGGUUCUGAGAGGAUGGUCCCCCACACUGGUACUGAG